rnacentral:rRNA from 1 species
GAUCAUGGCUCAGGAUGAACGCUAGCUACAGGCUUAACACAUGCAAGUCGAGGGGCAGCAUUCUUCUAGCAAUAGAAGAGAUGGCGACCGGCGCACGGGUGAGUAACACGUAUCCAACCUACCGAUAACUCCGGAAUAGCCUUUCGAAAGAAAGAUUAAAUACCGGAUAGUAUACGAAUAUCGCAUGAUAUUUUUAUUAAAGAAUUUCGGUUAUCGAUGGGGAUGCGUUCCAUUAGUUUGUUGGCGGGG